rnacentral:rRNA from 1 species
GCCUGGGGUGCCCGCGAGGGGAGCCCUAGCACAGGUGCUGCAUGGCCGUCGUCAGCUCGUGCCGUGAGGUGUUGGGUUAAGUCCCGCAACGAGCGCAACCCCCGCCGUUAGUUGCCAGCGGUUCGGCCGGGCACUCUAACGGGACUGCCCGCGAAAGCGGGAGGAAGGAGGGGACGACGUCUGGUCAGCAUGGCCCUUACGGCCUGGGCGACACACGUGCUACAAUGCCCACUACAAAGCGAUGCCACCCGGCAACGGGGAGCUAAUCGCAAAAAGGUGGGCCCAGUUCGGAUUGGGGUCUGCAACCCGACCCCAUGAAGCCGGAAUCGCUAGUAAUCGCGGAUCAGCCAUGCCGCGGUGAAUACGUUCCCGGGCCUU